GACGAACGCUGGCGGCGUGCUUAACACAUGCAAGUCGAACGGAAAGGCCCUGCUUGCAGGGUACGCGAGUGGCGAAGGGGGGAGUAACACUUGGGUGAUCGGCCCUCCACUUCGGGAUAAGGCUGGAAAACUGUGUCUACUACCGGUAAGGAGCCAUGUUUACUGGUGUGGGUGGAAGGUUUUUGGGGUGUAGGAUGAGCUCGCGGCCUAUUAACUUGUUGGUUGGGUGAUGGACUACCAAAGCGGCGACGGGGAGCCGGCCGGCGGGGGUGGACGGCCACCAUGGGGCUGAGGAAAGGCCCACACUCCUACGGGGGGAAGCAGGGGGGAAGAAUGCACAAUGGGGGGGAGCAUGCUGAAGCGACGACUCGUUGGGGACGAAGGACUUUGUGUUGUAAAAUAGUUUUGCCAGGGACGAAGCUGUUUGUGACGGUACCUAGAGAAGAAGCACCGGCUAACUACGUG
rnacentral:rRNA from 1 species